UACGGGGGGGGGCAAGCGUUUGUUCGGAAUUACUGGGCGUAAAGGGCUCGUAGGCGGCCAACUAAGUCAGACGUGAAAUCCCCCGGCUUAACCAGGGAACUGCGUCUGAUACUGGAUGGCUUGAGUUUGGGAGAGGGAUGCGGAAUUCCAGGUGUAGCGGUGAAAUGCGUAGAUAUCUGGAGGAACACCGGUGGCGAAGGCGACAUCCUGGACCAACACUGACGCUGAGUGAGCGAAAGCCAGGGGAGCAAAGCGGG
rnacentral:rRNA from 1 species